GCGAGGUGACGAUAGAAAUUCAUUAGUCUGUCAAUCCACUGACUAAUUAUUCUGUGAUGUUAGUUUGAAUCCCGACAGGUUCUGAUCGC
rnacentral:snoRNA from 1 species